rnacentral:rRNA from 1 species
CUCGUAUCGGGAGUACCGCAGCGGCGAACGGGUGAGUAACACGUGAGCAACCUGCCCUUCUCAUCGGAAUAAGCGUUGGAAACGACGUCUAAUGCCGAAUACGACCUCCUUUCGCAUGAUCGGAGGUGGAAAGCUCCGGCGGAGAAGGAUGGGCUCGCGGCCUAUCAGCUAGUUGGUGUGGGUAACGGCCCACCAAGGCGACGACGGGUAGCCGGCCUGAGAGGGUGACCGGCCACACUGGGACUGAGACACGGCCCAGACUCCUACGGGAGGCAGCAGUGGGGAAUAUUGGACAAUGGGCGAAAGCCUGAUCCAGCAACGCCGCGUGAGGGAUGACGGCCUUCGGGUUGUAAACCUCUUUCAGCAGGGACGAAGCGAAAGUGACGGUACCUGCAGAAGAAGGACCGGCCAACUACGUGCCAGCAGCCGCGGUAAUACGUAGGGUCCGAGCGUUGUCCCGGAAUUAUUGGGCGUAAAGGGCUCGUAGGCGGUCUGUCACGUCGGGAGUGAAAAACUCAGGGCUCAACCCUGAGCGUGCUUCCGAUACGGGCAGACUAGAGGUAUGCAGGGGAGAACGGAAUUCCUGGUGUAGCGGUGGAAUGCGCAGAUAUCAGGAGGAACACCGGUGGCGAAGGCGGUUCUCUGGGCAUUACCUGACGCUGAGGAGCGAAAGCAUGGGGAGCGAACAGGAUUAGAUACCCUGGUAGUCCAUGCCGUAAACGUUGGGCGCUAGGUGUGGGGACCUUCCACGGUCUCCGUGCCGCAGCUAACGCAUUAAGCGCCCCGCCUGGGGAGUACGGCCGCAAGGCUAAAACUCAAAGGAAUUGACGGGGGCCCGCACAAGCGGCGGAGCAUGCUGAUUAAUUCGAUGCAACGCGAAGAACCCUUACCUGGGUUUGACAUAUACCAGCAAAGCUGCAGAGAUGUAGCCCCCCCUUGUGAUCGAUAUACAGGUGGUGCAUGCCUGUCGUCAGCUCGUGUCGUGAGAUGUUGGGUUAAGUCCCGCAACGAGCGCAACCCUCGUCCUAUGUUGCCAGCACGUCAUGGUGGGGACUCAUAGGAGACUGCCGGGGUCAACUCGGAGGAAGGUGGGGAUGACGUCAAGUCUUCAUGCCCCUUAUGUCCAGGGCUUCAAGCAUGCUACAAUGGCCGGUACAAAGGGCUGCGAAACCGUAAGGUGGAGCGAAUCCCAAAAAGCCGGUCUCAGUUCGGAUUGGGGUCUGCAACUCGACCCCAUGAAGUCGGAGUCGCUAGUAAUCGCAGAUCAGCAACGCUGCGGUGAAUACGUUCCCGGGCCUUGUACACACCGCCCGUCACGUCUAGAAAGUCU